ACCGCGCAGUAGAGCGGACAUAUGAAAAUCGCGCUCCGCAGAUUUCGGGUACCGGCUACUCUACCUCUUGGAUCCUGCGCUGUGGGUCCGCUUCCUGGUGUGCCUCGAGUUCCAGGACAAGCGCUCCGUAGUUUCGGCGUGCCAGCUCCACUAACUGGUGAAACUCGGCUUCUAAGACAAGCGCUCCGUACUAUCGGCGCUCCAGGUCCGUUACCUGGUGAAACUCGACUUUAAGGACGAGCGCUCCGUAGUUUUGGCGCUCCAGGUCCGCUACCUGGUGAAACUCGACUUCUAGGACGAGCGCUCCGUAGUUUCGGCGCUCGAGGUCCACUACCUGGCGAAACUCGACUUUUAAGUCAAGCGCUCCAUACUAUCGGCGCUCCAGGUCCGUUACCUGGUGAAACUCGACUUCUAGGACAAGAGCUCCGUACUAUCGGGGCUCCAGGUCCGUUACCUAGUGAAACUCGACUUUAAGGACGAGCGCUCCGUAGUUUCGGCGUUCCAGAUCCGCUACCUGGUGCAACUCGACUUCAGGGACAAGCGCUGCGUAGUUUCUGAGCUCAAGAUCUACUACCCGGUUAAUCGCGACUCUCGGAGGACGAGGAAGACGAGAACAAGGUGGACGAGGAUAACGAGGAUUUCUGCACGGUAUAACCCGUGGUGGUUAGCGGUGGUCCUUGGAGGCGGUUGGCGGUGGUUUGAGGUGGACGAGGA